rnacentral:rRNA from 1 species
ACCUGGUUGAUCCUGCCAGUAGGCAUAUGCUCGUUUCAAAGAUUAAGCCAUGCAUGUCUUUGUUCGUACCUAGUUAAAGUGAGACUGCGAAAGGCUCAGUAUAUCAGUUAUAGUUUAUUCGAUUGUGAAAUCCACAUGGAUAACCGUGGAAAAUCUAGAGCUAAUACAUGCGAAAAAUGGAGGCCUCCUCGGAGACUUCCGUGCAUUUAUUAGAGUUAAACCAAUCGCAGGAAAGGCGUAAAAACCUCUUCUGUGCUGUGGUGAGYCUGAAUAACUGUGCCGAUCGUAUGGCCUAGAGCCGACGACGUUUCGAUUAAAUUUCUGCCCUAUCAAUUUGUUGGUAAGGUAGUGGCUUACCAAGAUUAUUACGGGUAACGGGGAAUCAGGGUUCGAUUCCGGAGAGGGAGCCUGAGAAACGGCUACCACAUCCAAGGAAGGCAGCAGGCGCGCAAAUUACYCAAUCCAAAUACUGGGAGGUGGUAACGAGAAAUACCAGGUCGUUCCCAAAAGGAUUCGACACUGGAAUGAAUGUAACUUAAAAAAUUCAAUGAUUAGCAACUGGAGGGCAAGUCUGGUGCCAGCAGCCGCGGUAAUUCCAGCUCCAGUAGUGUAUCUUAAAGUUGCUGCGGUUAAAACGCUCGUAGUUGGACAACAGAGUGACUCGGUGCAGGCGGGGAGUGCUUCUACUUUUAUAAAACYGAUUUAGCCGAGUUUCGACGAAGCUACUUUGGCGAUAUACUCGUAUCACUUGUCGACCGUGCYGCCGCGCCACUUGGAUUAUCUUGUGAGAACCACGCAUGGCCUUCAUUGUGCCGCGCGUCGUGUCUUGCAUAGCGUGCCUUGAAUAAAUCAGAGUGCUCAAAGCAAGCUCCGCUUGAAUGUUAAUAGCAUGGAACGAAUGUUUAGUGUACGCAGGCGCCUCGGGAAUGUCCUCGGAUGUUUGUGGGGCGGCUGUAGCACCAACCACGAAGCAGAACAUUGGUUGCUGUCUUCGGGUGACGAUUAAGAGGGGCAUUUGGGGGCAUUAGUAUUUGGACGCGAGAGGUGAAAUUCUUGGACCGCCCAAGGACUAACAAGUGCGAAAGCAUUUGCCAAGUAUGUUCCCUUUAAUCAAGAACGAAAGUGAGAGGAUCGAAGACGAUCAGAUACCGUCCUAGUUCUCACCGUAAACUAUGCCAACCCGGGAUUAGCUCGGAUGUAAUUACAUGGAUCCAGGUUGGUCCCCCCGGGAAACCCUUGAGUUUUUAGGUUCCGGGGGGAGUAUGGUUGCAAGGCUGAAACUUAAAGGAAUUGACGGAAGGGCACCACCAGGAGUGGAGCCUGCGGCUUAAUUUGACUCAACACGGGAAAACUCACCUGGUCCGGACAUCGAUAGGAUUGACAGACUAAUAGAUCUUUCAUGAUACGGUGGGUGGUGGUGCAUGGCCGUUCUUAGUUCGUGGAGUGAUCUGUCAGGUUGAUUCCGGUAACGAACGAGACCACGAUCUCCAUUUAGGAAGUGGCAAAACCGAAUCCGACGUUUGUGUUUGUUUCGCGAUGGGCAUGAUGCGUCGUUUUUGUCGUUUUACCGUGUGUGUGUAGCAAUAUGCAUCCUAUGGAGAGACAGCCGGAUAUUAAACCGGAGGAAGCGUGGCAAUAACAGGUCUGUGAUGCCCUUCGAUGUUCAGGGCUGCACGCGCGCUACAAUGAUAACGACAACGAGUAUCUGGACUGAAAAGUUCUGGGAAAUCUUGUAAAUCGUUAUCGUGAUGGGGAUUGAGCAUUGUAAUUAUUGCUCAUGAAAUAGGAAUUCCUUGUAUUUGCAACUCACUCAGGUUGCGAAGAAUAAGUCUCUGCCCUUUGUACACACCGCCCGUCGCUACUACCGAGUGAAUGGUGUCAUGAUGUCUUGGGACUGGACGUUG